rnacentral:ncRNA from 2 species
UUCUUAUCAAGAGAGGCGGAGGGACUGGCCCGACGAAGCCCGGCAACCGGUAAUUUACACGGUGCUAAUUCCAGCAGAGCAUGAUUGCUCUGGAAGAUAAGAA